rnacentral:lncRNA from 1 species
AUGCUGUCUUCAAAUGAGACUAACCCAUCUUUGUCACUGCUUCAUUCAGAAGCAAAGGAAAUUUCUCUAAGCCAUAGAGGGUAUCCAGAAAAUGAACGUGAAGCAAUACAAUCUUCAUCAAAGAAAUUAUUUUCAAUGAUGAAAACCAACAAAACUAAAAAUUUAAUGUUUUCUUCUGACUUUAACUUUUCAAGAACUUCUAGAAUCACUAUGGAAAGUGAAGAUCUAGAUGUGGCAUCAUGCCCGUCUGCCCAUUUAUUUCUUUCUAGAGACCAAGUCAGACUUCUGGAAGAAAAUGUGAGAAAUCAAAUUCCUUUAAAAUCCAAAGCUGUCUUAGAGAGUGAAACUACUUAUCUGUACUCAAGAUCUCAAGAGUCCUUGAUCCGGAAUCAACGUUCUUUUAGAAUGGACAUUUCUGCCCAAACACAAGUUUCUUUUCCAGGACAAAAUGCUAUUCAGAAUCAAGGUUUUUAUGAAGCUCAAUUUACUAGCCAAGCCCAACGAUUUGUUAACAACCAAGAAUCAGUCAACUGCCAGUCUGAUAUCAAGGCCAGGUACUUUUCUAUGCCUCAAGAUUUGACAAAGAAACCAUUUUCCAGCAACACACAAUGUUCCUUCCAGACCCAAGACAUGGAUGGGAGUCAACAUUUAGUCAAAGUCCCACAUUCUGUUCAGAGUCAAGAUUCAAGCAGGGGCCUAGAGUCUGAUAAAAAACAGUUAGAUGAGGCCCAAUAUUCUGUUUGGUUUGAAGAUUCAAACAAGAUUAAAUAUUCAAUCCUGGGACAAAGAACUAUUUUUAAGAAUGCCAGAUCUCUAGUUUUAACUGUAAGUCCAAAAUCAGUUGCAGAAGAGAUGCCACAGCUAAAAAGUGUAAAGCUAAAGGGCCAGAAACAAAUUCCUUCAUCAAAAUUAAACCAGUAUUCUGUAUAUGGCUCAGUGCCUCUUUCACCUACCACCAAAAGGCAGAAAAACAGAAGAAAAACAUUACACGGUAAAAGUAAAUUUAGUCUCAAAGUUUCAUCUCAAAAGUCAAAGAAAACACCAACUUCACAGGUAUUUCAAAUCACAGUAUGCCACACUUCAAAAGAAAGCAAGCUAGGAGGCAAGUAUAACACUAAGAAGAAAGAACUAGAUCAAAGGAAAGGUGUAUCAGAUAGAGCAUUGCAUCUUAUUUAUGUUUCCAAGCUUGUUCCUCCUUAUAUGAAGAAGUAUUGCAGGAAAAAACUAAUGAAAGUCAUGCCAGGUUUAACAGGAUGUAGAUAUUUUCUGCUGAAGCAAAACAUCUCAGUAGAUGCAGAGAAAGGCAGUUGUGCAGAGUCCGUUGGGAAAAGCGGAACCUCAGGCAAGACUGAAAAUGUAAAGCAGCAUGGUGGGGACAAUAAAGGACUAAAAAACAUGUCACUGAAAAUUCCACCUCAGCUGAAACAGCCUUUCAUGGUCAAUAAUUGUCAACUAAAAGCACCUUUUCUUUUAAUAGAAGCAAACUGGAAGAAUAAAAAGUCUUUUAAAGACCCAAUUACACAAGCAAAUGAAGUUGGUAUUGCAGAGUUUCAUGCCCCAAAUAGGAAAAAAACUUCUGACCUGCCUUUUCCAAAGUAUGAGAUGCCUUUAGAAGAAGAUAUAUCACAACCUUUGCAGAAAUUUGUUUUCUCUCCCAAACUGGAAUCAAACAGAAGAAUGAAAACACAGGAGGACCUGAAAAGUACAGAGAAUUCUCAUCUUCCACUUUCAAAUGGAGAGAAGUUACCAACUAGUUCACCAGAGAUGCAGAGGUGCCUUCCACAGGGAAAUACACAAGAACAAGAAGAUUUUCUGGAAAUCGUUCUGGAGUCUUCAGAUGUCAAUUUGCUCAUUUCACUAGGAACCAAAAAGCGUAAAAGCAGUGAACAAUUAGCAAGUGUAAAAACUCAAGAGAGUACAGAAGAUGUAAUUCUGAAGGCAAAGAAACCAUCAAUCCUUGAUGUUACAGAAUAUGAUAAUCUAAGUGAAAGUGAGGAACUGGAAUGCAACUCUAGAAGCAACAUAAAAAAUAUGCAAGAUAAAAGAAUAGCUGAUGCAUUUCACAAUGCCACCAACACUACCAUUUCUCAACCACCUGAUAUGGAAAUGCUUAGCAGAUUAAAAGCCAAGACAGAUACAUCAAGAAUAGAGCUUAGUCAUUCAGUGGUAAAGCAAGAGAAAUUACCAGAAGAAAAGAAAAUAUGGAAUGUAAAAUAUAUUGAGAAGAAAUGUGUAUUUAAAAAACCACAAGAACAUGACAGAGAGGAAGAGGAACAAGCUUUACAAGAAGAAGUUCCACAGCUGCCACAAGAUUUCAGAUUCAGCCUACAACUAAAGCAGAAGUCCAAACAUGUCAAAUUUGAAAUAGAACAGAGCAGUUCAGGAAGUAGAAAAACUCAAAAUAGAAAGCAAGAAGAGGUAAAACCACAAACUCUUUCUACAGAAACGAUUUUGGGUACUAAUCCAUGCCCCACAAUGGAUCCAUUUGAAGUUGAGAAUGUGAAGCAAAGCACUAAUAGACCUACAGACAGAGAAACUGCAGAACCAAAGAAUCUUGCUACAGUGCCAGAGAACUUACCAGUUGGUGAAGUUUUAAUUGAAACAACAGAAUGUGGUGUCCCAUUUGGUAGAAGCUCCAGGAAGACGCUGGAUGAUCGUAUUGCAGAAGAAAAGGAAGACUUAAAAAAAGUUUUACCUGCAGUUUCCCUGGGCUCUUUCAUUAUCCACAUGCUUCCUUUAUCAUAUUUUAAAAGGCAGAAAAUCAGAAAAAAAUUAUCAGGAACAAAAAGUAUACUCAGUCCCAAAUGUGUAAUUAUGAAAGCAAAGAAGCCAGCAAUUUUACUGAUGCCUGAUAUCAGUAGACAUGGUAGUCUAAAUCAUAGACAAAGAUUGAGAGGCAAUUUUAAAAUCAUAAGUAAAAAGAUGCUUCGAGAUAACAUUGAGGAAGAUGUGCUUCUGAAUGUUAUUUACCCUCAUGUGUAUAUUUUGCCUCAUAUUAGAACUCACAGCAGAUUAAAUGCAGAAAAUCACAGUUAUACCAAGCUAAAACAAGAGAAAUCACAAGUUGAAAGGGAAGAAAAGUGUUCAGAUUCCAUAAAUAAAGGAAGUGACUCUGGAAACACACUAGAAGGAGCUAAAUUGCAAGAUGAAGUGAGAGGAGACAAAGAAGCUCCACAGGAAGCAGUCCUUCCUGAUAGCUGGAACCUCAGGUUGGAUGCAUAUCCAGAGAAGAAGCUUAAAACAGAGAAAGAAAUGCAUCAACCACCCACAUCUGCGGAAACCACUUUGGAGUCUAUGUACUCCCCCAUAAUUGAUCCACCUCAUAUUGAGAACAUGAAAAGCCUAACAACACAACCAGAGUUAAAAUGCACUGCAGAUUCUGAGAUGCCUCUUCCAACAUCAGAAAAAUCACUGAUUGGAGAUCCUUUAAAC